GUUUUAAUAAUUUAAUAAAAAUAAUGAUUUUGUAAGUCAACAUUAAGGAUAAUCCUUUUAAAACU
rnacentral:tRNA from 1 species